rnacentral:rRNA from 1 species
UACGGAGGGUGCGAGCGUUGUUCGGAAUUACUGGGCGUAAAGCGCGUGUAGGCGGCGACGUAAGUCGGAUGUGAAAGCCCUCGGCUCAACCGAGGAAGUGCAUCCGAUACUGCGUUGCUUGAGUUUCGGAGGGGGUGGCGGAAUUCCUGGUGUAGAGGUGAAAUUCGUAGAUAUCAGGAGGAACACCCGUGGCGAAGGCGGCCACCUGGACGAACACUGACGCUGAGACGCGAAAGCGUGGGUAGCAAACAGGAUUAGAUACCCGUGUAGUCC